GACGAACGCUGGCGGCGUGCUUAACACAUGCAAGUCGAACGGAAAGGCCCUGCUUUUGUGGGGUGCUCGAGUGGCGAACGGGUGAGUAACACGUGAGUAACCUGCCCUUGACUUUGGGAUAACUUCAGGAAACUGGGGCUAAUACCGGAUAGGAGCUCCUGCUGCAUGGUGGGGGUUGGAAAGUUUCGGCGGUUGGGGAUGGACUCGCGGCUUAUCAGCUUGUUGGUGGGGUAGUGGCUUACCAAGGCUUUGACGGGUAGCCGGCCUGAGAGGGUGACCGGCCACAUUGGGACUGAGAUACGGCCCAGACUCCUACGGGAGGCAGCAGUGGGGAAUUGUGCACAAUGGGCGGAAGCCUGAUGCAGCAACGCCGCGUGCGGGAUGACGGCCUUCGGGUUGUAAACCGCUUUCGCCUGUGACGAAGCGUGAGUGACGGUAAUGGGUAAGGAAGCACCGGCUAACUACGUG
rnacentral:rRNA from 1 species